GUUUCUGUGGGGUAAUGGUAGCCCGUGUGGACAUCCCUUCCGGGGGUGCUAUGCGCAAGACGCUGGUUCGACCCCGGCCAGAGACU